CCUGCUCCCUCCCCACCCGGCGGGACCCCGAUACCGGACCGUCGGCCGGUGCCGCCGCGCCUUCCCGGCAGCAGGAAAUUAAAACUCCUCACACAGUGAGUUUAGUCCACUGCCAAGCCCCUGUGGGCAGUCCUCAUCCGGAAGGAAGCAAGGGGUUCUGAGGAAUCAGACUGGAGAAAUGAGAAGCUCACAGAAGUAGAACAGCUUGACAGAGAUGCAUCUGAAACAAGGAAUGCUGGAACUGGAAUGAUCUUUUGAAUAUGCAUAAACUAAAAAGGGAAAAACCAAAUGGGGAAAAAAAGAAAAAAAGUGUGGCUAGCUUCAUGUAGAGAUGGAUUUUCUAUUCCACAGAAACUAAUUUGCCUCCAAUGCAAAUUCUCUGUUGAAAGGAUGUGCCUACACUGCAGCUGGAAUGCUUCAGACAUAGGUUAUGUGGGUACUAAAGCGGUAUGGGCAGUAAAAUAACAGUAACAGUAAAAAUUUAAAUCACAGAGACUAUAACAAAUGUAAUCAAGGGCUCUGUAUCAAAUUCAGAAACACCUGGUUUCUUGGUGUUUAGGUUUGUAUUUUAAUAAAUGAGUUGACAACA